AACACCGCUAGACUGCGUUACACCUUCCUCAGACCCUGCGACCUACCCAUUACUUAAUUUAUUCAUAAUAAUCGUUUUAUUUGCAUUCACUGGACAUCUUCCAUCUGCCAGACCCUGGGCUGUAUGAUCUGCAAUAAUAACUUUACCCAUUCUCCAUAAGAAUCUGUGAUGUAGGAUUGAUUGCUCUCCCCAUUUUAUGGCCAAAGAAACUGAAGCAAGAUAUUGUGAUGCCCAGCAAGCAACGAUAAACUUGACAUAAUAUACUGUGGUAGAAAUCAAAUGUAAGGCUAAUUUUACCUGUCAAGGAGUACUUCAAAAUAUGUCUUCUUCAGACUUGUUAUAUUACUGUAUCUGUAUAACUAGAAGUCAGAGAUUCUCAGCACAGAGAAUUUUUCCUAAUGAGCUAUUUUGGUGGGUCCAGAAAGAUAUUUGAAGUGAAACAGAGGAUGAAAGAAAGAGACACCUUUUCUCCAUUGACUGAUGGAGGCAGAUGCAGAGAUCCACAGCCAAACACCAGGCAAAGCUCCAGAAGUCCAGUAGGAGAGGGAGGAGCGAUUCUUCUAUGAGCAAGAGCAUCAGGAUCAUGAUGGGGAAACCUGCACAGACAACCAAACCAAACUAGUGAGAACUCAUGAAAGUUGGAUCAAUGGCUACGGAGCCUGCAAGGGACUGGACUAGGCCCUCUGCACG